AGAGGUCAGCAUUGAUACCGUGUCUGAGUUAAGCCCAGGCCAUGGGCCUGUGAGAGCAGAGCAGGCCUGGGGCCUGCAGACUAGGAGAGGGUAUUGCAGUCCCUGUAACCGGGUUCCAGAUCCAAGGAGAAGGUUCCCCUCCUGAGUCCAUAUUUGCAGAAGCAGGAACACCACGGUUAA